UACAGAGGUGGCAAGCGUUGUUCGGAAUUACUGGGCGUAAAGGGCGCGUAGGCGGCCCUCUUUGUCGCGUGUGAAAGCCCCGGGCUCAACCUGGGGAAUUGCGCGCGAAACGGGAGGGCUUGAGUUCGGGAGAGGAGCGUGGAAUUCCCAGUGUAGAGGUGAAAUUCGUAGAUAUUCGGAAGAACACCAGUGGCGAAGGCGGCUCACGUGGUCCGGUACUGACGCGUGAGGUGGCGAAAGCGUGGGGAGCAAACAGG
rnacentral:rRNA from 1 species